rnacentral:rRNA from 1 species
GACGAACGCUGGCGGCGUGCCUAAUACAUGCAAGUAGAACGCUGAAGAGAGGAGCUUGCUCUUCUUGGCUGAGUUGCGAACGGGUGAGUAACGCGUAGGUAACCUGCCUGGUAGCGGGGGAUAACUAUUGGAAACGAUAGCUAAUACCGCAUAAAAUGGAUUAUCGCAUGAUAAUCCAUUGAAAGGUGCAAAUGCAUCACUACCAGAUGGACCUGCGUUGUAUUAGCUAGUUGGUGGGGUAACGGCUCACCAAGGCGACGAUACAUAGCCGACCUGAGAGGGUGAUCGGCCACACUGGGACUGAGACACGGCCCAGACUCCUACGGGAGGCAGCAGUAGGGAAUCUUCGGCAAUGGACGGAAGUCUGACCGAGCAACGCCGCGUGAGUGAAGAAGGUUGUCGGAUCGUAAAGCUCGGUUGUAAGAGAAGAACGAGUGUGAGAGUGGAAAGUUCACACUGUGACGGUAUCUUACCAGAAAGGGACGGCUAACUACGUG